AGUGGCGGACGGGUGAGUAACACGUAGGUAACCUGCCCCGGAGCGGGGGAUAACAUUUGGAAACAGAUGCUAAUACCGCAUAACAACAAAAGCCACAUGGCUUUUGUUUGAAAGAUGGCUUUGGCUAUCACUCUGGGAUGGACCUGCGGUGCAUUAGCUAGUUGGUAAGGUAACGGCUUACCAAGGCGAUGAUGCAUAGCCGAGUUGAGAGACUGAUCGGCCACAAUGGAACUGAGACACGGUCCAUACUCCUACGGGAGGCAGCAGUAGGGAAUCUUCCACAAUGGGCGCAAGCCUGAUGGAGCAACACCGCGUGAGUGAAGAAGGGUUUCGGCUCGUAAAGCUCUGUUGUUGGAGAAGAACGUGCGUGAGAGUAACUGUUCACGCAGUGACGGUAUCCAACCAGAAAGUCACGGCUAACUACGUGCCAGCAGCCGCGGUAAUACGUAGGUGGCAAGCGUUAUCCGGAUUUAUUGGGCGUAAAGCGAGCGCAGGCGGUCGCUUAGGUCUGAUGUGAAAGCCUUCGGCUUAACCGAAGAAGUGCAUCGGAAACCGGGCGACUUGAGUGCAGAAGAGGAUAGUGGAACUCCAUGUGUAGCGGUGGAAUGCGUAGAUAUAUGGAAGAACACCAGUGGCGAAGGCGGCUGUCUGGUCUGCAACUGACGCUGAGGCUCGAAAGCAUGGGUAGCGAACAGGAUUAGAUACCCUGGUAGUCCAUGCCGUAAACGAUGAGUGCUAGGUGU
rnacentral:rRNA from 1 species